CAGCCGCGUAAUUCCAGCUCCAAUAGCGUAUAUUAAAGUUGCUGCAGUUAAAAAGCUCGUAGUUGAAUUUCGGGACUAAUAUGUCGGUCGUGCCUCGGUACGUACUGGUUUAUUGGUUUCUCCUUUCUGAAGAACCAUGAUGUCAUUUAUUUGGUGUCGUGGGGAAUCAGGACUGUUACUUUGAAAAAAUUAGAGUGUUUAAAGCAGGCUCACGCUUGAAUACAUUAGCAUGGAAUAAUGAAAUAGGACGUUUGAUUCUAUUUUGUUGGUUUCUAGGAUCGACGUAAUGAUUAAUAGGGAUAGUUGGGGGCAUUAGUAUUCAAUUGUCAGAGGUGAAAUUCUUGGAUUUAUUGAAGACUAACUACUGCGAAAGCAUUUGCCAAGGAUGUUUUCAUUAAUCAAGAACGAAAGUUAGGGGAUCGAAGACGAUCAGAUACCGUCGUAGUCUUAACCAUAAACUAUGCCGACUAGGGAUCGGAUGAUGUUAAUUUUUUAAUGACUCAUUCGGCGCCUUACG
rnacentral:misc_RNA from 1 species